rnacentral:lncRNA from 1 species
UUCCUGUCACAUGUGAGACAAACUUUCGGGCAGCCCGACAACUUACUAGUUGUCUCUGAUGCGCAUGUCUCCAUUGCAAAUGCUGUGAAGAGCGAGUUACCAAAUGCUACUCAUGGUCUUUGCUACUACCACUUGCAGAACAAAAUUAAGGGCUACGGGCAAGCUGUUGUUGAGCUUUUCCGCCAGGCUGCAUACGCCUACGAGGACUCCGAAUUUUCACGUGCAAUGUCGGCUAUGGCUCAAUUGAAGCCGGC